rnacentral:rRNA from 1 species
AUUGAACGCUGGCGGCAUGCCUUACACAUGCAAGUCGAACGGCAGCGGACCUUCGGGUGCCGGCGAGUGGCGAACGGGUGAGUAAUAUAUCGGAACGUACCUUUCAGUGGGGGAUAACGUAGCGAAAGUUACGCUAAUACCGCAUAUUCUGUGAGCAGGAAAGCAGGGGAUCGCAAGACCUUGCGCUGAUUGAGCGGCCGAUAUCAGAUUAGCUAGUUGGUGAGGUAAGGCUCACCAAGGCGACGAUCUGUAGUGGGUCUGAGAGGAUGAUCCGCCACACUGGAACUGAGACACGGUCCAGACUCCUACGGGAGGCAGCAGUGGGGAAUUUUGGACAAUGGGCGCAAGCCUGAUCCAGCCAUGCCGCGUGAGUGAAGAAGGCCUCG